rnacentral:rRNA from 1 species
GUGGGGAAUUGUUCGCAAUGGGCGCAAGCCUGACGACGCAACGCCGCGUGGAGGAUGAAGAUCUUCGGGUCGUAAACUCCUGUCGAAUGGGACGAAUGGACCGCGAGCGAACAGUUCGCGGUCGUGACGGUACCGUUAAAGGAAGCCCCGGCUAACUCCGUGCCAGCAGCCGCGGUAAUACGGGGGGGGCAAGCGUUGUUCGGAAUUACUGGGCGUAAAGGGCUCGUAGGUGGCCAACUAAGUCAGACGUGAAAUCCCUCGGCUUAACCGGGGAACUGCGUCUGAUACUGGAUGGCUUGAGAUUGGGAGAGGGAUGCGGAAUUCCAGGUGUAGCGGUGAAAUGCGUAGAUAUCUGGAGGAACACCGGUGGCGAAGGCGGCAUCCUGGACCAACACUGACACUGAGGAGCGAAAGCCAGGGGAGCAAACGGGAUUAGAUACCCGGGUAGUCC